UCCCAGGGUAGGGAUCCGGCGAGAGCGC
rnacentral:piRNA from 1 species